CGCGGCCAUCCUUUACUACCUGUGCCGCAAGUACAGCGCACCAUCGCACUGGUGCCCGCCAGACCCGCACGCACGUGCCCGUGUGGAUGAGUUCGUGGCUUGGCAACACACGGCCUUUCAGCUGCCCAUGAAGAAGAUAGUCUGGCUCAAGUUGCUGAUCCCAAAGAUAACAGGGGAGGAAGUUUCAGCUGAGAAGAUGGAGCAUGCAGUGGAAGAGGUGAAGAACAGCCUGCAGCUCUUCGAGGAGAAGUUUCUGCAGGAUAAGAUGUUCAUCACCGGGAACCAAAUCUCACUGGCUGACUUGGUGGCCGUGGUGGAGAUGAUGCAGCCCAUGGCAGCCAACUAUAAUGUCUUCCUCAACAGCUCCAAGCUAGCUGAGUGGCGUAUGCGGGUGGAGCUCAAUAUCAGCUCUGGCCUCUUUAGGGAGGCCCAUGAUCGACUAAUGCAGUUGGCCGACUGGGACUUUUCAACACUGGAUUCAAUGGUCAAGGAGAAUAUUUCUGAGUUGCUGAAGAAGAGCAGGUGA